rnacentral:rRNA from 1 species
UACGUAGGGUGCGAGCGUUAAUCGGAAUUACUGGGCGUAAAGCGUGCGCAGGCGGUUUUGUAAGACAGAUGUGAAAUCCCCGGGCUCAACCUGGGAACUGCGUUUGUGACUGCAAGACUCGAGUGCGGCAGAGGGGGGUGGAAUUCCACGUGUAGCGGUGAAAUGCGCAGAUAUCAGGAGGAACACCGAUGGCGAAGGCAGGUCUCUGGGCAUUAACUGACGCUGAGGUGCGAGAGCGUGGGGAGCGAACCGG